rnacentral:rRNA from 1 species
CAUUCGAAAGAAGUAAGACCCCUGAUAGACUAACAGGUUGAUAGGUCUGAGGUGUAAGAGCGGUAACGCUUUCAGCUGACAGAUACUAAUAGGUCGAGGGCUUGAUCAAG